rnacentral:rRNA from 1 species
GGCGGACGGGUGAGUAACACGUGGGUAACCUACCUAUAAGACUGGGACAACUUCGGGAAACCGGAGCUAAUACCGGAUAAGAUAUCGAACCGCAUGGUUCGAUAGUGAAAGAUGGUUUUGCUAUCACUUAUAGAUGGACCCGCGCCGUAUUAGCUAGUUGGUGAGGUAACGGCUCACCAAGGCAACGAUACGUAGCCGACCUGAGAGGGUGAUCGGCCACACUGGAACUGAGACACGGUCCAGACUCCUACGGGAGGCAGCAGCG